AUACAUAAAAAAACGGAGACAGGCACAUCUGAAAGAGGGUGUUUCUCUCGCCGAUAACAAAGGUACCACACACACUCCCAACUCACAAGAAGAAACAAAGACCUUCAAUUCACACUAUUUCUAGGGUUUUUUUUCUCUCUACUUCUUCAUGAAAUGCCAUAAUUUACCCAACUUCCUCGUAGCUAACAGAUAGCUGAGAUAGGAAUUGUUUUGGCUUUCAGAUUACUUCCUCUUCGACUUUCAUGAUUGUAUUAAGUUUUCACUAUGAGUGGCACACCUAAGAGAUCUCAUGAAGAUACUCUUCAUCCAUCUUCAAAGCAUCCCCACGAUGAUUCAAGUACAUAUUCCAAGUUGGUUUCAACUUCAAAUGAAUACCAUGUGCCUUAUGAUAUAGGUCAGGAUUCCCGUGCUGCAAAAGCGCCCCGGACAGAAUUCCGUGAUGCUGAUAGAAAAUCUCCUCUUCCUUCAGUGUAUCGGAUUACAUCACUAUCAAAUGAUUCUCAUCCGGAUCAUCCACUUGGUAUUGAGAACAAGAUAGAGUCAAGGGAUUCUAAGGACAACAGAGAUUUCCGAUUUGAAAAUCGUGAUUCAAAGAUAGAGAAGAAGGAUAUACAUGUCGAAGCUAGAAGGGAUGCUCAGAGUGCUAAGAGUGAAAAGGAUUUGCGUGUUGAGGGUAGAGGAGAUGACAAUAAGGAUGUCAAAUAUGACCGGGAGAGUCAUAAUGAAUCAAAAGGUGAGAAGACAGAAAAGGAUGGCUAUGGUAUGGUUAGCAGCCAUUUGAAUUGGAAGGAAUCAAAAGAUUACCAUAGGGGAAAACGAUAUUCAGAUUCACCUAGUCGUAGUUUGGAGACUUGGCAAAUGCCACGUAGCAAUUCACAAGGACCACUUGAGGCUCGAAAGGAGAGUUCAACAACAAAAGAAAGGGACUACGUGGAAGCUCACGAGGCUGUUGGGGAGAACAAAGUAGACUCUAAAGGUGAUGAUAGAUCUAAAGAAAAAGAUAGGAAAGGCAAGGAUGUGAAGCAUCGGGAAUGGGGAGAGAAGGAAAAAGAAAGAAACGAUCGUAGAAGCAGUGCAGACGUUAGCAAUACAAGUGGUGAUGGUAAAGAAUCCGCCAAGGAAGACAAAGAUGUAGAAAGGUCGGAGAAAGAGAAAAAAGAUCAUCCAAAAGAGAGAGAAAAUUCAAAAGACAGGGAAAAGGAUCAGAUCAAGAAAGACUCAUUGAAUGGAAUGGAUAAAGAGAUUCCAAAUAAUGAGAAGGAACUUGGGGAUGGAUUGGUUAAAUUGCCAGAACAAGAAACUGUGUUACCAGACCAGAAGAAACAAAAAGAUGCUGAUAGCUGGAAAAAUGUUGAUCGUGAAUCAAAAGAGAAAAAAAAAGAGAGAGAUGCUGAUUCAGAAGGUGAUAAGCCGGAUAGACCUGAUAAGCGAAAUAGAGGCUUUGACAAGGAAUCAGAUGAUGGCUGUGCUGAUGUGGAAGGGGCUAUAGAGAAGGAGAAGGAGAAGGAACCCUAUAAUUUCAGUGCCCAGCAACGCAGAAGGAUACAACGAUCUAGGGGGAGUCCUCAGGUGCCUAACCGAGAGCCUCGUUUCAGAUCCCGUUCCGCAGACAAUGAUGGGUCUCAAGGUAAAGUAGAGGUUUCAUCUGUUGUUUACAAGGUUGGUGAUAGUAUGCAAGAGCUGAUAAAACUGUGGGAGGAAUAUAAAUCAUCCGUGUCUCAACUGGAGAAAAAUGGUGAAAGUUCUAGUAAUGGGCCUACUUUGGAAAUUUGUAUACCUUCUGAUUAUGUUACUGCUACAAAUCGUCAAGUCAGAGGUGGCCAGCUUUGGGGGACCGAUGUAUACACAUAUGACUCGGAUCUUGUUGCUGUUCUCAUGCACACAGGUUACUGUCGCCCAACAGCUUCUCCGCCUCAUGCAGCCAUACAAGAGUUGCGUGCAACCAUCCGAGUGCUUCCUCCACAAGAUUGCUAUACCUCCACAUUGAGAAACAAUGUAAGAUCCCGAGCUUGGGGUGCAGCAAUUGGUUGUAGUUAUCGAGUUGAACGGUGUUGCAUUGUGAAGAAAGGGGGUGGAACUAUAGAUCUUGAACCUUGCCUUACCUAUACUUCAACCAUUGAGCCCACCCUUGCUCCGGUGGCUGUUGAACGGACAAUAACUACCAGGGCAGCAGCUUCGAAUGCUUUGCGACAGCAAAGAUUUGUUCGAGAAGUCACAAUACAGUACAACCUCUGCAAUGAGCCCUGGACCAAAUAUAGCAUAAGCAUUGUUGCUGACAAAGGUCUUAAAAGACCACUCUACACGUCUGCUCGUUUGAAGAAGGGGGAAGUCUUGUAUUUGGAGACACAUUUUUAUAGGUAUUUUUGACAUGUCAUGGCUACACCAACAACUCCAUUGCGCGACGCAGGAACAGAGAAGUCUCAGAAUCACCACCACCACCACUCUGCGAUUGGUGAAAAACAUGAUGGUGAUAAUGUCAUGAUUGAGGCAUUCCGUUGGUCUCGUUGUAAGAAGCCUCUGCCCCAGAAGGUGAUGCGCACCAUUGGCAUCCCUCUGCCCCCUGAACAUGUUGAGGUACUGGAGGAUAAUUUGGACUGGGAAGAUGUGCAAUGGUCACAAACUGGUGUAUGGAUUGCAGGAAAGGAAUAUACACUUGCAAGGGCGCAUUUCUUGUCAAUGAAUUAGUUCUAUUUUACCCACGAAUGGAUUAGUUCAUUACUAAUUUCUUAUUAUUUAUUUUAUGGAUAUUGUGUUGGGUUGAUGUAAUAGGUUUAUUCACGUACCUUGAGAUAUUGUCUUCUCUUUUCUUGUAACUAAAGCUGUUGUAUUUUAUGGGGGCAUGGCUAUUGAUCUUAAAUCAAAUAUGUAGUAGUUUAAUUAUGCAUA